UGAUGAUGAUGAUGAUGAUGAUGAUGAUGAUGAUGAUGAUGAUGAUGAUGAUAGUGGUGGUGACGGUGGUGGUUGCGAUGGUGACGCUGAUUAUUCAUCACCAUCUUCUUCUCCGUCAUUAAAAUUCUCAUCAUCAUCAUCAUCAUCAUCAUAUGUG
rnacentral:pre_miRNA from 1 species